UGAACCCACAGAACUGGGUUGUUCACCUGCUGGUAUCCUGACUGUGAUUCCUUGAAGUUGGGAAGAAACAGUCUUCUGCACUUGGGCAGUCACAGGGCAUUUGGAUUCAUUUAAAGUUCUGUGGUCCCAGCACGCAAUGUUAGCCUGUGAGUCGACCCUUUCACAGUGAUGUUUAUCAGGUUUCUUAGUUAUUUCUGCUAGAACACCGUGAUUUUAAACUAUCUUACUACCACAUGGAAAACUCGCACUUUCAUGACUUGCUUUACUUAAAAAUAUGGAAGCAAGAGCUAAUUUAAGGUGCUCUUGAAACCAUCCUUGGUGACCCUGCCUGCUACGCAGCAUAUCAGGUGCUUAAGACAAAAGACUUAGAAUUCAAAGCCAGCAACCAUCAGGAUUUCUGCCUGUGUUAGGUUUGAUGUUCCGUAUUGAAUUCUCCGUCUCUCAUGUGAGCCUGUCAUCGUUCAUAUUUGGCAAUAUUUGAACAUCAGUGGUAUCCGCCUUGAACUUCCGUUAUUUCUCCGAAGCAGAACACCGAGAUAAUUCCUUCUUGAAUACAAAGGUAUCAGAAAUAUGUUCAUAGCAUUGCCAAAUGAGGUCGGUAUAUUAAAGAAGUCUGUCCAGGGACAGACUGGCUCCCUGACUC
rnacentral:lncRNA from 1 species